GACGAACGCUGGCGGCGUGCUUAACACAUGCAAGUCGAACGGAAAGGCCCUGCUUUUGUGGGGUGCUCGAGUGGCGAACGGGUGAGUAACACGUGAGUAACCUGCCCUUGACUUUGGGAUAACUUCAGGAAACUGGGGCUAAUACCGGAUAGGAGCUCCUGCUGCAUGGUGGGGGUUGGAAAGUUUCGGCGGUUGGGGAUGGACUCGCGGCUUAUCAGCUUGUUGGUGGGGUAGUGGCUUACCAAGGCUUUGACGGGUAGCCGGCCUGAGAGGGUGACCGGCCACAUUGGGACUGAGAUACGGCCCAGACUCCUACGGGAGGCAGCAGUGGGGAAUAUUGCACAAUGGGCGGAAGCCUGAUGCAGCAACGCCGCGGGCGGGAUGACGGCCUUCGGGUUGUAAACCGAUGUCGCCUGUGACGAAGCGUGAGUGACGGUAAUGGGUAAAGAAGCACCGGCUAACUACGUG
rnacentral:rRNA from 1 species